CAGAAAGGGGAGGGGGAGAGAGAGGGGGAGGGGAUCCCAGAGAGAGAUUGACGUUUUGGUAGAAAUAUUUAUUACAAGCUAGAGACGGACAGAGAGGAUGAGGGGGAGAUAGAGGAGAACAGACGGAGGGAGAGGAUCUGAGACACGGCUGAGAGAGAGAUAGAUCUGUUUGUGUCUGUAAAAUGUAUUAUGCAAGAAAUGGCGGUGGAAAUGACUUACUAUGCAAAUACUGAUAUAAAAACCAUCAUAUGGAAGUAAAGUUGGAGUCGCGUGAUAUGGUGUGUGGUCCUCCCACUUCGACUCAGGAAACCAUGCCGUUUAUGAGGCUACACAUGAAAUAAGUUACGAUGAACUUCACAGGGUGGUGAAAGUGCACUGGGAUCUUGAUGCUCCUUUACAAUAGAAGUGGUGACAUGAUGAUCGAUGCUUGAAUGUUGUUUGACGAAUACCUCUCUUAUCCAUAAUAAUGUCCUCGUGUAGACUAGCCUACCAGCGCUCUCUCUUAUCCAUAAUAAUGUCCUCGUGUAGACUAGCCUACCAGCGCUCUCUUUAUCCAUAUAAUGUCUCGUGUAGACUACGGCCUACCAGGUCUCUCUUAUCCAUAAUAAUGUCCUCGUGUAGACUAUGCCUACCAGCGCUCUCUCUUAUCCAUAAUAAUGUCCUCGUGUAGACUAGCCUACCAGCGCUCUCUCUUAUCCUAUAAUAAUGUCCUCGUGUAGACUCGCCUACCAGCGCUCUCUCUUUAUCCAUACUAAUUGUCCUCGUGUAGACUAGCCUACCAGCGCUCUCUUAUCCAUAAUAAUUGUCCUCGUGUAGACUCGCCUACCAGCGCUCUCUCUUAUCCAUAAUAAUGUUCCUCGUGUAGACUCGCCUACCAGCGCUUCUCUUAUCUCCUAUAAUGUCCUGUGUAGACUAGCCUACAGCGCUCUCUCUUAUUC
rnacentral:lncRNA from 1 species